rnacentral:tRNA from 1 species
GUAGGUGUGUUGCCGGUUUGAUUUGAAAUCAAAUGUUUCGCUAUUGAUUUGUGACGCGUGUU